rnacentral:tRNA from 1 species
GGAGGGUAUAGCUCAGUGGUGGAGCAUGUGCUUAGCAUGCACAAGGUCCUGGGUUCAAUCCCCAGUACCUCCA